rnacentral:rRNA from 1 species
CCUACGGGAGGCAGCAGUGAGGAAUUUUCCGCAAUGGGCGAAAGCCUGACGGAGCAAUGCCGCGUGGAGGAGGAAGGCCUGUGGGUCGUAAACUCCUUUUCUCAGAGAAGAAGUUCUGACGGUAUCUGAGGAAUAAGCAUCGGCUAACUCUGUGCCAGCAGCCGCGGUAAUACAGGGGAUGCAAGCGUUAUCCGGAAUUAUUGGGCGUAAAGCGUCCUGAGGUGGCUUACCCAGUCGACUGUGAAAGCUCAAGGCUUAACCUUGAAACGGCAGUCGAAACUUGUAAGCUUGAGUACGGUAGGGGCAGAGGGAAUUCCCGGAGGAGAGGUGAAAUUCGUAGAUAUCGGGAGGAAGGCCAAAGGCGAAAGCACUCUGCUGGGCCGAUUACUGACACUGACAGACGAAAGCUAGGGGAGCGAAAGGGAUUAGAUACCCUGUAGUCCUAGCCGUAAACGAUGGAUACUAAGUAGUUGCGCGACUCAAAACGUGCAGUGCUGCAGCUAACGCGGUAAGUAUCCCGCCUUGGGGAGUAGUGCCCGCAAAGGGGUGAAAACUCAAAAGUAGUAGUACGGCGUCGAGGACGCGCGACCGGAGGACCAACCGAGGAGGGUUAGGAGG